rnacentral:rRNA from 1 species
GACGUAGGGGGCCAGCGUUGCUCGGAAUUACUGGGCGUAAAGGGUUCGUAGGCGGUGCGGCAAGUCGAAAGUGAAAUCUCCAGGCUUAACUUGGAGGCUGCUUCCGAAACUGCCGUGCUCGAGUGCGGGAUAGGCGAGUGGAAUUGCAGGUGUAGCGGUGAAAUGCGUAGAUAUCUGCAGGAACACCCGUGGCGAAGGCGGCUCGCUGGACCGCAACUGACGCUGAGGAACGAAAGCUAGGGGAGCAAACAGG